UACCAUAUAAAGAGCCACUUUUCCCUGUGGUGUUAUUCUCGGAUCUCUCUUCCUCAAACAAAAAUCCUUAGCAUAUGUAUGUACGUAAAUAAAAAACAACUAGAAGAAUACAUAAAUCACAGCAAAAGAAGUCUUCAUCAACUGCAAGAUGGCUUUGGACGUACAGCAAGCUUUUGUUCCCCAAAAUCAAUCAGGAUCAUGAAAUGAAGUCUUGCAACAUGGCCUUGCAUGAAUGCCCUGUGGGCUUUGGCCCCGAGGUAUGACCUCCUCCUAAGGGUUUCGGGUUGGCGGCAUCCUGCGUGGCCACCCGGGCACACGUGGAGGGUAAUUGCCUUUGAUCGGUUCCUCACACUUCUUGUUUGCCUCCGGUGAGACUCCG
rnacentral:lncRNA from 1 species